UUUUUAAUUAAGCAAUGUGAUGUUGUAGUGUUUACUGGGUUUACCGGGUUUACGGGGUUUAGGGUGUAUUAGGCUUUGGAUUAGUAUUCAAAUUCUCGGCGCUAGAGAGAAUUGCAUGAUAGUGUUUUGUACUUGAUUUGUGCAAGUUAUGGAAGCUCAAAAAAGGGGAUCAGCGAAAGGAAAGUGCAAGGUCGAGAGUACUGUGCAACAAACAAGAGUUGGCCGAGAUGCAUUUUUUAAUUUCAUGUAA
rnacentral:lncRNA from 1 species